UGAGUACUCCCUCCCUCCCAAAAUUCUUGUCUUAGAUUCGUCUAGAUAUGGAUGUAUCUAAUACUAAAACAUGACUUGAUACAUCCGUAUUUAGAUAAAUCUAAGACACGAAUUUUAGGACGGAGGGCGAGUACUUG
rfam:Triticum aestivum genome assembly, contig: Triticum_aestivum_CS42_TGACv1_scaffold_407330_5BL